CAAGUCGAGCGAUGAAGCUUCCUUCGGGAAGUGGAUUAGCGGCGGACGGGUGAGUAACACGUGGGUAACCUGCCUCAAAGUGGGGGAUAGCCUUCCGAAAGGAAGAUUAAUACCGCAUAACAUAAGAGAAUCGCAUGAUUUUCUUAUCAAAGAUUUAUUGCUUUGAGAUGGACCCGCGGCGCAUUAGCUAGUUGGUAAGGUAAUGGCUUACCAAGGCAACGAUGCGUAGCCGACCUGAGAGGGUGAUCGGCCACA
rnacentral:rRNA from 1 species